rnacentral:rRNA from 1 species
CAGCCGCCGCGGGAAUACGUAGGUCCCGAGCGUUGUCCGGAUUUAUUGGGCGUAAAGCGAGCGCAGGCGGUUAGAUAAGUCUGAAGUUAAAGGCUGUGGCUUAACCAUAGUACGCUUUGGAAACUGUUUAACUUGAGUGCAAGAGGGGAGAGUGGAAUUCCAUGUGUAGCGGUGAAAUGCGUAGAUAUAUGGAGGAACACCGGUGGCGAAAGCGGCUCUCUGGCUUGUAACUGACGCUGAGGAGCGAAAGCGUGGGGAGCGAACAGGAUUAGAUACCCCCGUAGUCCCUGUCUCUUAUACC